rnacentral:rRNA from 1 species
AUUGAACGCUGGCGGCAGGCCUAACACAUGCAAGUCGAACGGUAACAGGAAGAAGCCUGCUUCUUUGCUGAGGCGUGGCGGACGGGGGUGUAGUGUCCAGCAAACUGCCUUAUGGAGGGGGAUAACUACUGGAAACGGUAACUAAUACAGCAUAACGUAGCUAGAGCAAAGAGGAGGACCUUCUGGCCUCUUGCGAUCUUAAGUGACCAGAUGGGAUUAUCUAGUAGUUGGGGUGACGGCUCACCUAGGGGCCGAUCCCCAGCUGGUCUGAGAGGAUGAGCAGCCACACCGGAACUGAGACACGGGUCAGACUCCUACGGGGGGCCGCAGGGGGGAAUAUUGCACAAAGGGCGCAAGGCCGAUGCCGGCAUGCCGGGUGUAUGAAGAAGGCCUUCGGGUUGUAAAGUCCUUUUUGCUGGGAGAAAGGGAGAACAGGUUAAUCCUUUGCUGAUCGACGUUACCCCAAAAAAUAGCCCCCGCCAACUUCCUG